UGCAAGUCGAGCGGUAGCGGGGGUAGCUUGCUCUUUUGGCGGCGAGCGGCGGACGGGUGAGUAAUGUCUGGGAAACUGCCUGAUGGAGGGGGAUAACUACUGGAAACGGUAUCUAAUACCGCAUAACGUCGCAAGACCAAAGAGGGGGACCUUCGGGCCUCUUGCCAUCAGAUGUGCCCAGAUGGGAUUAUCUAGUAGGUGGGGUAACGGCUCACCUAGGCGACGAUCCCUAUCUGGUCUGAGAGGAUGACCACCCACACUGGAACUGACACACGGCCCACACUCCUACGGGAGGCAGCAGUGGGGAAUAUUGCACAAUGGGCGCAAGCCUGAUGCACCCAUGCCGCGUGUAUGAAGAAGGCCUUCGGGUUGUAAAGCACUUUCAGCGGGGAGGAAGGUGAUGAGGUUAAUAACCUUGUCUAUUGACGUUACCCGCAGAAGAAGCACCGGCUAACUCCGUGCCAGCAGCCGCGGUAAUACGGAGGGUGCAAGCGUUAAUCGGAAUUACUGGGCGUAAAGCGCACGCAGGCGGUCUGUCAAGUCAGAUGUGAAAUCCCCGGGCUCAACCUGAGAACUGCAUUCGAAACUGGCAGGCUAGAGUCUUGUAGAGGGGGGUAGAAUUCCA
rnacentral:rRNA from 1 species